rnacentral:rRNA from 1 species
CCCUUAGAUGUUCUGGGCCGCACACGCGCUACACUGAAGGAGGCAGCGUGUACUCCUGGAUCGAAAGAUUUGGGUAACCCGCGAAUCUCCUUCGUGCUAGGGAUUGAGGUUUGCAAUUAUCCUUCAUGAACGAGGAAUUCCCAGUAAGUGCAAGUCAUAAGCUUGCGCUGACUACGUCCCUGCCCUUUGUACACACCGCCCGUCGCUAUUACCGAUUGAAUGAUUUAGUGAGGACUUCGGACUGGGACCGAUGCGGCUUUCGGGCUGCGUCGGUAUUCUGGAAAGAUGUCCAAACUGUAUCAUUUAGAGGAAGUAAAAGUCGUAACA